UGGGGAAUAUUGCACAAUGGGGGAAACCCUGAUGCAGCGACGCCGCGUGAGCGAAGAAGGCCUUCGGGUCGUAAAGCUCUUUUAUAUGGGAAGAUAAUGACGGUACCAUAAGAAAAAGCCCCGGCUAACUACGUGCCAGCAGCCGCGGUAAUACGUAGGGGGCGAGCGUUGUCCGGAAUUACUGGGCGUAAAGGGUUCGCAGGCGGCAUGGCAAGUCCGAUGUAAAAGGCGAAGGCUCAACCUUCGUAAGCAUCGGAAACUGUCAAGCUUGAGUGAAGGAGAGGCAAGUGGAAUUCCUAGUGUAGCGGUGGAAUGCGUAGAUAUUAGGAGGAAUACCGGUGGCGAAGGCGACUUGCUGGACUUCAACUGACGCUGAGGAACGAAAGCGUGGGUAGCAAACAGG
rnacentral:rRNA from 1 species